UACGUAGGGACCGAGCGUUGUCCGGAAUCAUUGGGCGUAAAGAGCGUGUAGGCGGCCGCUUAAGUCCUGCGUGAAAUCUCGGAGCUCAACUCCGAGCGGUCGUGGGAAACUGGGCGGCUAGAGUGCGGGAGAGGAGAGUGGAAUUCCUGGUGUAGCGGUGAAAUGCGCAGAUAUCAGGAAGAACACCCGGUGGCUAAGGCGGCUCUCUAGUACGGUACUGACGCUGAGACGCGAAAGCGUGGGGAGCGAACAGG
rnacentral:rRNA from 1 species